rnacentral:lncRNA from 1 species
UUUUUUUUUUUUUUUUUUUUUUUUUUUUAAUCUAAAACUUCACUAAUUCAAAACCUAGAGACUUAGUUAUCCUAAGUUCAAAUUAUUAUUUAUUCUUAAAUAUAUAAUAUAUAUUUAACUUGUGUUUUAUUUUAAGCUAAUGCAACUUUUAAUAAUAUAAUGAAUAUUUACCCCAUAAUACACCUAUUAAGACUCCCACUUGAAAGAACGAAUUUUGACAAGGUUAUGUAGUAGCACUUAUGUAGGGAAGUCAUGAACAAUAAAGAAAAUACAACUGAGUGAAAGGUAUGAGUCUAGUAUGAUGCCGUUAGAACCAAAUCAUGCUAAACUGGGAGCUGAUAUACAAAGAGCUUAAUGGCCCUGAUAUAAUCGAUUAACAGACACGAUAAUGAAAUCAAGUUGAUUGCAAAUGUGAUGCCACCAACCCUAUUUAUAGUCACUAGAGUAUAACCGUCGAAGACGGGGUUCAUUGAUCAGCAAACAUGCCGGUUCCCUAUUUUUACAAACAAGUUUUAUAACCAACCCUAUUAUUUACAAUAGUUACACUUUAGGUAAUCACUGUACUAACGGGUCUUUCUAAGGGGGUCGCGGGGUGCCAUGUUAUGGAGCUUCCAUCACUCGUGGAGUAGCGUGGAACACCGCCGCCACCCAAUUCCAUCGCUCGUUAAACUCAUCACUCGUGAUGGCUAUGACGCGUGAAAAGUUGUAGAAUGUGAGGGAAAUUGUUGGGUGUGGUGAGUGAUGGGCACCCUCACUAAAAUCCAUCACUAGUGAUGGAACCAAGUUCGAUGACGUGGCGGAACAUGAUUGGGUGUGGUAUGUGAUGGAAAAUGGAGCACCACUACCCCUAAUUAACGAGUUUUUAAAUGUGAUCGGGAUUAAUCCAAAAGAGACUUAAUCACUUAUUGUAGGGGGCUCUCCUCAUUUAGAAGAUAAAAAAAUUAUGCAUACUGUAUAAUAUAUUAUAAUAAGAAGUUAAAAAAAAAAAAGAAGAGGAUUACUCUUGAGUGAAUUUAUAACAUAAAUAAGGCUUACCUCAUAUUUACUUGAAGGAUAAAUUACACUUUUCGUCCUUUAUGUUUGUAUCGGGUUGUAAUGAAUGACCUUUAACUUCAAUAAUUACAAUCACAGUCCUUUAUUUGUAAAACCUGUUACAUCUUACGUCCUUUGAUCUUAACCUGGUUAAAACUUUCAGUUAAGUGAGAUCAUAUACAAGCCAUGUGAGGACAAAACGGUCAUUUAAUACAUAAAAAGGAAUGUCAUAAUUCAAAUUAAAAAAAAUCUAUAAACCUGAACCAUCCCCUCCCCUAUACACUCAUAUGUGAUGAAAGAACUAAAAAACAACAAGAUCCAACCUCUCACAUUCACCAAAUCUUGAC